UAAGCGCUUGCUCGGAGCAUCCCCGGCUGCUGCUCGAUCCGAUCCGAGCCCGCUUUGAAGCCGCGACGCGCUGCCAGCAGGCGAGGCGCUGCCUGCUCCCUGCCUGCUCCCUGCCUGCUCCCUGGCAGCAGUUUGCCCGAACGCUGGAAGGAGAAGGCAGCUCCGACGCUGCUGCGGCUUCCCCGGCUGCCAGGGGAAGGAACAGAAUCUUAGAAUCAUCUGGGUUGGAAAAGAUCACCUGUAAGAUCGUCGAGUCAGGUCUUCAUGUGUUUGUUCAUGGAAUGAAAGACGGCUGGGUGAGCCUGCUUUCUACUCCUCUGGCCUGCCUUCUGCAGCCCACUGGGGAUCUUCAGUCUCGGGGUGAUGCCUUCCCUCACGUCUCACAGGCACCCAAACACUGCCUGAGUGGGGGACACGACGUCGUGGGCAGAUGUUAAACCUGUGCCCUGGUGUCGAGGAUGACACGGGGGAAGGUGCUGGCACAAGCCCGUGCAGUCCCAGGCACUACAGACUGUGCUGGGUGCAUCACAGGGGGACACGGCCCCUGUCCCCUGUCCCCAGGCUGCCGCUCCCCUCCUGCUGCGGCCGGAAGACAUGAGCUCCCGAUUAAAGGAGAUUUCAUCCAGACGCAGGGGCUGCGGCAGCCUGCGCAGCAGGAGGGGACGGGGACAGGACGCCUGAGAGAGAGACCAGAGGAGAAGCUAAUUUACUCUGGAAUGUAAAUACAGCAGCAGCACGCUGCCCCGCAGGGCGUGUCACCCCCUCCUGGCUCUGGAACCCGGGUUGGAGCUGCCCAGCACGGCUCAGGCCACAUCCCUGCCGUGCCAGAACCUGCAUCUCACCUGGGCACUGCGCAGAGGUGAGGAGGAGGAGGGUCAGGGGCUGUUGCAGCUGCCGAGUGCCACUGCUGCUGCUCCUGCCUCCCACGCUGAGAUACCACAGGUUACACAUCCCCUGCAGAGGGAUGGAGCCUCAGCCCUCCCUAAUAAUCCUAAGAAUCAAUAGCAGUGUCAUGGAUGUGCAGAACAACAGCUCGGAGUUGAGAGGGGAACUUCUCAGCAGGAUUAAAUCCGAAACCUAGUGACAACACUUCAUGUAUCUGUGCUAUCUGUGUCCCUGCUGCUCAUUCUAGCAGAUAGUUCUUACUAAUGAGCUUUACUCAACAGCACUAGAUUUGUCCAUAAGAGCAAAUUCCAGGGAUCAAAAAAUAAGGUUUGAGAUGCAAAUAUUCUGUGAGAUAACCAGAUUUAAAUGUUUUGGGUUUUUUCUCUUUUGGUCCUUACUCCAGGGAUAAUUUUUAAAGGAAGCAAGGAGAGAUCCUCUGGAAUGUGAGAUGGAGAAUAUUUUUUAGAAGAAAAGACCAAAUAACAUAAAAUCAUUGUUUCGGUUUUGUCUGGUUUGGGGCUUUUUUAGUUUAUAACCAUGGAAUUUGGAAAAGUUCCCUUCUGUUCACCCAGGGCAGUGUAAGCACAGAUGCCCCCCCACAGGGAGCAGGUUGGGCUCGUCCCCUCCUCUCAGGUUGCAGAACAUCACUGGGAAGCCAUGGGCGUGCUGGUGAGUGCCAGACUGGUGGCACAGGAUGAACCCCAGGCAGCCACCUCGCUGCCCAGAGCAGAGACAGCUCAGCAGAUGGGUGGUCUGUGGCAGGUGACAAAGACUCCAAAAAGUCCCUUUUGAAAAUGUCCAGUCCAUGCUGGUAGUGGGCUCCUCCUCUCUCCCAAGGAUGGACCCCCGUGCAAGGACCUGAUCUCAGACACAGAUGCUGGAAGAAUUCACACCCCAAGACAGGUUGUUUUCCAGUUUUCUUUAAUCUUCCACAUGGCUUUUUUUUCUUUUCAUUUUGAGGCAGGAGUACUAACUGCUAAGGAUGCAUAUGGAAUUUGAAUAUGAAUGAUAAGAACAGCUGUGUAUAUCUAUUAUGAAUGAACAUAAACAGAAAUGUAUAAACUGAGAUUUUGGGGCUUUUGGAAGAAUUAGUGCCUUUGUUCCUGGAUUU